UUUAUUGUUCUCAAAGAGUAGCCAAUUUAACAAGUUUCACCUUAGCUUUCCUACCUGUGCUCUUAUCCAAUGUGACCUGUACAUUCACAGAUGUCAUUCAUUUUUGAGGACAAAUCUAUUGUCUUAAGUCUAUGUCAAGUCUGUAUAAGCCCACAAUUUGCUGAUUUGCUCACUUUUUUAUAGGCUAGGACAAUGAAGACACGAUCCUUGAGGAACAAGACCAGGAGAUGUCAUCAAGUGGAUCAUCCAGAGAGCUCCUCUGAUUUAGAUCUAGCUCCCAGUGGCUCAAUGCAGGAAAACCAUGAAAAUAGAGGAGAGACAAUCAGCCAGUCAAGAUCAGCAACUCCUGAGAUGGGUAACACAGAGGUCCUGCAUCCACGACCUUCUGAUGAUGUUGGCAGUCAUACUCAACAGUCAACAAGAAGGCAUGGAUCUGAAGAUGACUGUUUAAAGUCUUUGCCAAAUCAAGAUGCAGACCAGUUGUUAAGUGAUGUCUCAGAUUCCCUUCUUGCUCCUGCCAUUCAACAAUCUCUUGAGGACUUUGAAGUGAACUUUGGACCCAUUGUUGGUGAUGAUAGUGAUAAUCAAGACACCACUCUUCCCUGGAAUCCACAUGACUUGAGCAGCAUGCAGGGACAAUGUAGAACUAACUUCUAACAGUACUGUAAAAUUAUUAGUGCCAUUGUCAAUUACUUUAAAUAGUUUUUCUUAUUCAUUGUUCUGUUAUAAAAUGUACAAAAUCUGUAACUUAUGUUUUUAAAUUCAUUUUUCAUCCAAACAUUCCAAAACUCAUUUCCAAUUUCAUGCAUCGUAGUAUGAAAUAAAAAAGUAGCAAAUCUAAAACCACAACAUUAUCACAAUUUUUUCAUGCUAAUUGAUAUAUUGAUUGUCAAAAUCUUUGAUUUUUUUCUGUUCACUAGUGAUUAAUCAAUCAAUAAUCACACCUAAUUACCUUUUUUAAAUAUCUUGCAGCAUUCUACAUUCAAUGAUGGACCGGUAUCAUCAAGCUGUCUUCCAGCAUCACCAGAUCCAUUUGACAAAGAAAUCCUCCAUGUGAAAUUAAGACGAGUAAACAUAGUUGAUGAUGUCCUUAAUGUUUUCAUGGAUCCAAAAGUACUGAAUGCUAAUCUAAAAAUGGAGUUUACGAAUGAAAAAGCUAUGGACAUUAAUGGUGUGUCAAGAGAGGCGUACUCCGCAUUCUGGGACCACUUCUUGGACCAGUGUGAGGGGGAAGAUGAACGAAUACCCAGACUACAACCAGACUAUUCUGAGAAGAAAUGGCAAGCUCUCGGAAGAGUGUGGUUGAAAGGAUACCUGGACCACAAAGUCCUACCAGUCAGACUGUCACCAGCCUUUGUUCUUACCUGUUGUCAAGGCGUUAGCUCAGUGGAUGAAGAACUCUUGAUGAUGUCAUUUUCCAGGUUUCUUUCAGAGAAUGAGCGUGCGUCGCUUGAAAAAGCACUACAGGGCAACAUUGAUGAAACUGUUGAGGAGGACUUACUUGAUGUCUUCUCAAGAAUGGGCUCACGCUGCCUGCCCCCAAAAAACAAUUAACGGGUUGCUAUUUUAACAAUGGCACACAAAGCUCUUCUGCAAGAGCCGAAGUUCAUAAUCGACUGCUUCCACUCCAGUGUUCACGAUGCUAUGCCAAAGCUCAUAACCAAAGACAACAUAAUGCAGCUCUAUGAAUCUAAGAGGCCAACUAACAAGAGAGUGGCCCAGAUGAUAAAACCAUCAACUGAAAGCCUAAAUCCACAAGAGCAGACUGCUCUUAACCACCUGCUACGGUAUGUGAGAAGCAUCGACCAAAGAAAACUGGAGAUCUUCUUACGCUUCUGCACAGGAUCUACUGUGCUGUGCAAUGACACAUUCGAAGUAACUUUUAAUGCAUUGUGUGGUUUAAGUCGCAGGCCUGUAGCACACACAUGUGGAGCAGUACUUGAGUUACCAUGCACCUACAGCUCAUACCCUGAGUUUCGUAAAGAAUUUGAUAAUGUCUUGUCUGGCAACUGCUUUACAAUCAUCCGUCUUCUACACUGAGAUUAUUAUGGCAUUUGUCUGAUGCAAAACUGUUUCUAUAGAUUUACAUUUAUUGUUCUUAUUAAAACAGAAACAGUUGACAUUUUUUUAUUUUUUUAAUUUUCUUAUUGGAAAUGAUUUUUCAGUAAUUUGUUAGUACAUACAGAAUUUUUUCCACAAGACAGUUAAAGUUUCAUAAUUUCGAUAAAUCAGCAGGGUCUGCCCUCACAGGUGAAUGUCCCUUUUUGUACAAUUAUUACAUUUUCAUGUGCAUCUUUUAUGCAAUUGUUAUUCUGAAUGAAGUUCAACAUUCAGCAUUUUUGUCAGCAUUCAACAAAGAAAUACCUGUUCAAUGCACAUACAGUACAAUUUCAAAUGGCUGUUUUUCUUUGAGCCUCAUGUGGCGAAUAUGCUGACAGUUAACUACGAAGAACAUAAUAUUCUAAAAUAAAAAUUCAGUUCCUCUUUCA